CAAGAAGUCGAAAGGCUACUUAAAACCAUCGCGAACUUAUCCAAGUUGCUUCGGCGGCGCGGCUCCCCUCACGGGGGACCGCAGCCCCCGCCUCUCAGGAGGUAAGGGGGCAGCCGCCGGAGGUACGAAACUCUGUAUUAUAGUGGUAUCUCUGAGUAUAAAACAAAUAAGUUA
rnacentral:misc_RNA from 1 species